rnacentral:rRNA from 1 species
GACGAACGCUGGCGGCGUGCUUAACACAUGCAAGUCGAACGGAAAGGCCCUGCUUUUGUGGGGUGCUCGAGUGGCGAACGGGUGGGUAACACGUGAGUAACCUGCCCUUGACUUUGGGAUAACUUCAGGAAACUGGGGCUAAUACCGGAUAGGAGCUCCUGCUGCAUGGUGGGGGUUGGAAAGUUUCGGCGGCUGGGGAUGGACUCGCGGCUUAUCAGCUUGUUGGUGGGGUAGUGGCUUACCAAGGCUUUGACGGGUAGCCGGCCUGAGAGGGUGACCGGCCACAUUGGGACUGAGAUACGGCCCAGACUCCUACGGGAGGCAGCAGUGGGGAAUAUUGCACAAUGGGCGGAAGCCUGAUGCAGCAACGCCGCGUGCGGGAUGACGGCCUUCGGGUUGUAAACCGCUUUCGCCUGUGACGAAGCGUGAGUGACGGUAAUGGGUAAAGAAGCACCGGCUAACUACGUG